rnacentral:lncRNA from 1 species
CAUUUCUGGCGAAUUUCCGAUUUCUUCUCCUGGUAUCGGAGGCAGUUCGCGCAAUUGGACGGGAGCAAUGUCGUCGACAUUCUCGUAUAUCUCCACUUCUUCACCAGUCUGAGAUUCUAAGCAUUUUUUCUCUCUGGAUUGACGUUUUUGGGCAAAGUCCACUUUAGCAUAAAGGUCCGAGACCACUGGGACAACGGUUGGAAAUUGAUCGUUUCCAAAUGUGCUACACUGUCGUGGUCUCACUUCCUCAUAAAUAUCUUCUUUUGAUAAAUCUGAAAGGGGGCAGAUUCUCUUGUCUCCAUUUUUCUGCCAGUCAGUAUUACCAUAUAUGUCCGAAUAAAAGGGAUCUCUCUGGUAAUAGCUGUCAUCAGCUUUAUAAUUUUCAACCACAACGGGCAGGUUCGACACAGUUUUCGAGAACUGACCCAAAUGCAGAACACCUUUCCUAUAUAAUAAUAGUAAAAUGAUACAAAAUUAAUGAUUAUUGUUCAUUUUGAUAAAUAACUAUAAUGAUUUCCAUAUUAUAGUAUUGAGUAAAGUGAAAAUCGUACCUUCUUAAUACGUAAACUAUCACCAAACACAGAAUGAGGAACACCACAACCACCACAAUGCCAAUCACAAAUCCAGCUGAAAAUACCAAUAAAUCAUUUUUAGGUAAAUUUUAUAUAGAAUUAAAAAAUUAGUUUUUAAAUUCUUGAUAAAUGUUUACAGAAAUUAACCCUUAUUGUGCCAAUUUAGUAAUAGUUAACUUUAUUCAGUGACAAAAUAUAUUUCAUUUUUAUGAUGAUUUUUUUUAAUGGAG